GAACGCCGUAGCAAUACGGAGUGGCAGACGGGUGAGUAACGCGUGGGAACAUACCCCUCGGUUCGGAAUAACUCAGGGAAACUUGAGCUAAUACCGGAUACGUCCGAGGUUUUAAUCGACCUUGGAGAAAGAUUUAUCGCCGGAGGAUUGGCCCGCGUCUGAUUAGCUUGUUGGUGAGGUAACGGCUCACCAAGGCGACGAUCAGUAGCUGGUCUGAGAGGAUGAUCAGCCACAUUGGGACUGAGACACGGCCCAAACUCCUACGGGAGGCAGCAGUGGGGAAUAUUGGACAAUGGGCGAAAGCCCGAUCCAGCCAUGCCGCGUGAGUGAUGAAGGCCUUAGGGUUGUAAAGCUCUUUUACCCGGGAAGAUAAUGACGGUACCGGGAGAAUAAGCCCCGGCUAACUUCGUGCCAGCAGCCGCGGUAAUACGAAGGGGGCUAGCGUUGUUCGGAAUUACUGGGCGUAAAGCGCACGUAGGCGGAUCUUUAAGUCAGGGGUGAAAUCCCGAGGCUCAACCUCGGAACUGCCUUUGAUACUGGGGAUAUCGAGUCCGGGAGAGGUGAGUGGAACUGUGAGUGUAGAGGUGAAAUUCGUAGAUAUUCGCAAGAACACCAGUGGCGAAGGCGGCUCACUGGCCCGGUACUGACGCUGAGGUGCGAAAGCGUGGGGA
rnacentral:rRNA from 1 species